UGGAGAUUAAUAUGCAGAUUAUUACAACAAUAUCCAAGCGCCCUAAAGAUUUCUACCACACUGGUAAUUAUGAAGGAAAGCUAGCUUUGGAGUAUUGUUUUACUGCAAGAAUAUUUUUGCUGCUUCUUUUUAAAUGGCAUACCUUUUGAGUGCAUUCAUGACACUACAUCCAAUAUAUUUUCACCAAUGUGAUGCGAUUUACAUGUAGAGUCUCAACAUUUUAUUACCAGAAAAAGCAGAAACAAGUACCAUGUCAAUACAGCAAGUUCAGAUUAGUUUUUGGUUUUUUUUAAAUGAAGGGCACAAUCAACAAGAAUAGCCUCCUACAUAUGUUCUACUGGAACUACUCGGCUCCUGCAUUUCAUUUCAACAAAAUGACUGCCCUGUUAUUUGAACCCAAAGUUAUGUAUGUCGCACAGCAAUGCCCAAGUAUGGCCCAGCGGAUAACAUGGUACCAAGUAUUUUAUGUUCCUUUCCAGUUUUAUGUUGAGUGCUAUGGCCAAACUUUGUGCCUCCACUUCAGGGACCUCUCGAGCCCAUCACAGGGUGCUCUGGGUGCAUACAAGAUGAGGACUGCACAGCCAAUUAAUGUGUGGUAUAGUAUGAAAUCACUGGCAGUGAUUACAUUUGGCCUGUCAAUGUUGCCUUGACAACUGAUUGCCACAGUCUAAAGACUUUCCAGGCCAAGGCAUUCUGCAUGUGCUGGACCACAAUGCGAAGGAUGCCAUAACCACCUCGUUAGAUGAGAGAGGGUAAAAGACCAAUUUUAAUACCUGUGUACUUUUCCUCCAUAGAAAGGCUUCGUGUGGAAUGUGACAGUAGCAGAGUAGCCAGUUUUGGCACACUGAAUAUUGACUUUACCUCCAAGCUCCACCCAAGGAAUGGUGUGGUUCCAGUUGAAACUGACAACAGCAGGUCUGGAUGGGCCAAGAAGUUUGCAUACAUCUCCAGCAGGGACCUCUUCUCCAAAAUAAAGGUUGGAAGGACGACCUGUAUUGAAUGCAGAAAAAGCGCUAUUUUUCCAUGGCAGCAUCAGGAAAUGUAAAUAGUUACGCCAGCUGCAACACUUACCGAGCCGAAAAGCAACCAUUUUUUCCCAGCAAUGCCAAAAAGCUCCCCUUCAAGAUUUAAAAGUAACAAUUAUGAAUUAAAGUGACACUCACUUUUUAGGACAA